rnacentral:lncRNA from 10 species
UCCAGUGGAAACUUCUGCUCAAAACACUAUAAAAAAAAUCAAGAGUCAAGACACACAAUGGGGAAAAUAUUUGCAAAAUAACUGACAAGGAAUUUUAUUCAAAAUACAUAGAGUUCCUAUAACUUGGUAAUAAAAACGAACCUAAUUUAAAAAUACACACUCAAAGACAUAUUAAUGGCCAAUAAACACGAGAACGUGUUCAUUAGUCAGAGAAAUGCAGACUGAAACCACAAGAUACCACUACAUGCCCAGAAGUCACAAUAUUUGUGUGCAAAUGUUCAUAGCAGCUUUACUCACACUUGCCAAAAACUAGAAACCAAUAAAAUGUUCACUAACAGGAAAACAGAUUAACAAAUUAUAGUAUAUUCAUACAAUCGAGUCCUACUCAGCAAUAAGGACUGUUGAACCUCAACAAUGUUUACGCUGAAAGAAUUACAAAGCUCCAGGGAAGGAAAUAAAAAUGAACCCUAGUCUAUGAUGAAAACAUUUGAGCUUGGUGGUGGUGGGAGAUUGCUUAAUUGCCUGGGUAGAGUAAGCUCCUUUUGUCCUGGUAAGGUGUGGGCAAAGGAGAACCACUUACCAAAAUUAUAACUUAGAUGUGUGUGUGUAUAUAUAUAUAUAUAUAUCUUUUUUUUUUUUUUUUUUGAGAUGAAGUCUCACUCUGUCGCCUAAGCUGGAGUGCAGUGGCAAUCUCGACUCACCGCAACCUCAGCCUCCCGGGUUCAAGUGAUUCUUCUGCCUCAGCCUUCUGAGUAGCUGGGACUACAGGCAUGCGCCACCACUCCCAACUAAUUUUUGUAUUUUUAGCAGAGACAGGGUUUCACCAUGUUGGCCAGGCUGGUCUUGAACUCCUGACCUCAGGUAAUCCACCCACCUUGGCCUCCCAAAGUGCUGGGAUCACAGGCGUGAGCCACUGUGCCCAGCUGGAUUUACAUAUUUCAAUUUAAAUAAAUUUUAUCUAAAAAGGGCAUGUAGUUAGUAGACAGAUAUGCCUAACUAGAAUGGUGUUGUUGAAACUGUAUAUAAAGGUUUAGUGUACCAUUUUGUUUACUUUGUAAGUUUGAAAAUUCUCCAUGUUAAAACUGGGCGCAGUGACUCAUGCCUGUAAUCCCUACACUGUGGGAGGCCGAGGUGGGCGGAUCAUCUGAGGUCAGGAGUUCCAGACUAGCCUGGCCAACAUGAUGAAACCCCAUCUUUACUAAAAUUACAAAAAAUCAUCCAGGCGUGGUGGUGCGUGCCUGUUAUCCCAGCUACUUAGGAGGUUGACGCAGGAGAAUCACUUGAACCCAGGAGGUAGAGGUUACAGUGAGCCAAGAUGGCGCCUCUGCACUCCAGCCUGGUGACACAGCGAGACUCCGUCUCAAACAUACACACACACACAAAACCCUCCAUAUUAAGAUGUUUACAAAUCUAAAAUCUAUUGUCUGGGCCCCUAGGCCAGAUAUCCAACAAUUUAUCAGACAUCCCUUGACAAGUCUGUUUCAUGGUUUUCUUACCAUCUUGAAGUCACAUACCUCUAGCUUUGUGUUUCAAAUGUCACCAUAGGGUUCUAUUGAGAAUCCAGGAAAACUGUGGCUAUUGCACAAGUCAAGAUUUUUGUUUUUGAGACAGGGUUUCACUUUUGCUCGGGCUAGAGUACAGUGGUACAAUCACAGCUCAUUACAGCCUCAAUUUCCUUUUAUUUAUUGUAGAGACAGGGUCUCACUAUGUUGCUCAGACUGGCCUCAAACUCCUAGGCUCAAGCAAUCCUCCCACCUCAGACUCCCAAACUUUUGAGAUUACAGGACAGUCUCUGAAAGCAGGAAAGGAUGGAACCCAAAUUAGCAGCACCUCUUCCAUUAUGACAAGAGGAAGGGCAAAGAAGAUGAGAUUGCAAAGCCUGAAGCCCGGAACCCAAAAAAUCCAUCACAAUUGUCCAUCCAGGAGAAUAAAAUCACAUUUCCAGUUAUGUGUCUGUGACAGAAACUUGGUGACUGCUUACUAAUGAACCCCCAAAUUCACUCACCUGUUUUUGGCAAAUGAAUCUUGUGAAUUACAUAUUGCACAGAUAUGUAAUAUUUUGCUUUUCUAGGAACACCAUCUGUUUUUAAUGAAAAUUGAGGAAAUAUUUUCUAACGGAAGCAUAUUCUGAGAAAGAUCAGAAUAUACAUUUUCAUAAGAUUUUUCAGCUUAUUACAUAUUUGACUGUGGAACUAAAAUGUUGCCAAAUAAAGAAAAUGACAAAGCCAAGUGUGAUGGCAGAACCCUGCAUUCCCAGCUACUUGGGAAGCUGCAGCAAGACUGCUUGAGCCUAGGAGUUCAAGGAAGCAGUAUGCUAUGAUCGCACCUGUUAACAGCCACGGCACUCCAGCCUAGACAACAGAACAAGAUCCUAAAUUAAAAAAAAUAAAGAAAAUGAUCAAGGUUAUAAAUUUUUUUCUACUUAAUAGAAAUAACCAUGAAUGAAAUAAGGAAACUUAUUUGAGUUUGAUCAUCCUCAACCAAUGUUUUAAGAGUCUAGUCUAUAAUAAAGGUUGGGACCUAACACUUUUAAACUUCUGUCUAACUCCAAACUCAUAAAUACACAUUGUUGUAUUGAUUUUAAACUUCAGACAUGUAGUAUUUGGUCAAGUAGGCUACUUAAAAAACAGGGCAACAGAAAAGUUUCUGAAUGUCACUAGACAAUUAAACUUUUAUUGAAGCGUAAAUUGUGGUACAGAAAUACAUUUCAACUGAUUUAAGUCCAACACCAGUGAAAGGAGAA